rnacentral:tRNA from 1 species
GGGCGAAUAGCUCAGUUGGCUAGAGCGCUUCCCUUACAAGGAAGAAGUCAGGGGUUCGAGUCCCUUUUCGCCCA